CCCUUAGAUGUCCGGGGCUGCACGCGCGCUACACUGAAGGAAUCAGCGUGCUAAAACCAUUGUCGAAAGGCAUUGGUAAACCCAUUAAAAUCCUACGUGAUUGGGAUCGGGAAUUGCAAUUAUUUCCCUUGAACGAGGAAUUCCCAGUAAGUGUGGGUCAUAAGCUCGCGUUGAUUACGUCCCUGCCCUUUGUACACACCGCCCGUCGCUGCCCGGGACUGAGCCGUUUCGAGAAAAGCGGGGACUGCUGCUGUCGGGGCUUUCGGGCCUUGGCUUCGAUGGAAACCGCUUUAAUCGCAGUGGCUUGAACCGGGCAAAAGUCGUAACA
rnacentral:rRNA from 1 species